AAAUUGAAGAGUUUGAUCAUGGCUCAGAUUGAACGCUGGCGGCAGGCCUAACACAUGCAAGUCGAACGGUAACAGGAAGCAGCUUGCUGCUUCGCUGACGAGUGGCGGACGGGUGAGUAAUGUCUGGGAAACUGCCUGAUGGAGGGGGAUAACUACUGGAAACGGUGGCUAAUACCGCAUAACGUCGCAAGACCAAAGAGGGGGACCUUCGGGCCUCUUGCCAUCAGAUGUGCCCAGAUGGGAUUAGCUUGUUGGUGAGGUAACGGCUCACCAAGGCGACGAUCCCUAGCUGGUCUGAGAGGAUGACCAGCCACACUGGAACUGAGACACGGUCCAGACUCCUACGGGAGGCAGCAGUGGGGAAUAUUGCACAAUGGGCGCAAGCCUGAUGCAGCCAUGCCGCGUGUAUGAAGAAGGCCUUAGGGUUGUAAAGUACUUUCAGCGGGGAGGAAGGUGUUGUGGUUAAUAACC
rnacentral:rRNA from 2 species